UAAACAAGUUUCCUUAUUUUUCUAAAUCACGAAUCUGGUCAUGUUUGUAACUAGAACAACACCCAUGGUCGGAAACUUUCUGAUUUAAAUUAAUUCCGCGUUUCCUUUUUCGAUGCCAAUCACGAACCUGGAUGAAUAUACGUCCAUAAUCUUACCAAACAAGCCAAAUCAGUGACAACCCACAUCCUCCAUAAAACCUCCUAAUUGUUCGUGAUUGACAGCAAAUGGAAGUUUCCAUACUUUACGAGACCUUCAAAAUGCUAUAAAUACGACAUCCUCGCAAGCCACUCUCGACACCAUCCUAUAUCUCUCAUCUCCCUGUUUCGAUAACAAUUCGCCGGAGACAACCGGAGAGGAAGCUCGCAACAUCGGAGACGUCGCCGGAACUCGAAUUCUCACCGAAGUCGUCACGUCGGAACUCACGUUAUCCUUUUGUUCGGAAUCCAACGCCGUCGGAGAAGACGACCAGAGUUUCGUCGGAGUUCAAGCUUUCGCCGGUUAAAUGGAGGUCGCCGGAGCUUCACGACGGGAACCAUGUCAAACGUCGUCUCGGUUGAUUGAUCAAGACUCAAGAAAACAAGUUAGAUACCCAUUUUAGCAAUUAAACAAUGUUUGAAUUUAUGUUCACUAUUUGAAACAAUGUAUUAUUCUUUAGUUUUAAUAAAAUGAUUUAAUUCAUAUUGUC
rnacentral:lncRNA from 1 species